AAAAAAAUAUCAAGACUUCAAAAAAAUCCAAGGAGAUAGACAUUCAAUCUAUAUAAUCAAACUGUGAAGCUGCAUCCACAGAUUUAAAUAAAGAACUAUAGGGUAUCAGAGGAGGUCAAAAAAAUUUCAGAAAGUCUUUCAAAUAAAUACAAAUUAAAAGUAGCAUUCUUCAAAAAAAAAUACGGAAGGAAGGAAGGAAGAAAAGAAUUGCUUCCUUGUGAACCUAUACCGUCAUCUCUGAAGCGUAAACAGCCACACCAGGUUGAUGGAAAUUAAAUUCCACAUCCAAGCCAAGACAAACACACUUGAAUAUAGUAGCCAACUUCUCUCCAUUUAAGACAGGAAAAUCAAACUUUUCCAAAUUACCAAGACACUGCUAUGAAAGAAAACAUUUGCAGUAGACAUUGUAUAAGAAGAGUGAAGUAAUAGCACCCGAGAGAGAAUAUUAUAAGACAAGAAUAUGCUAAACAGCAUAGAGAUAACUGCAAACAUGAGCAUGGAAGAACUAAGGAAAGAUAUGUAGAAAAAGAACACUUAUAAAGGUCUUUCUGGAAGUACAAGGGAACCUUGCUCAACCAUCAUGUCAUCAUGAAGGAGAGACAAGAAAAGAAUAUAAAACACAGAACUCAAGGCAGAAUGGGAAAGUACCAUCUCACAUCCAAAUACCAUUAAUUCUAAAAAGCAUUAGAAAAAAUGAAUUAUGCCUGGAGACAAGGCUUACAGCCAAACCAGGAGAACAGCUUUAAUGGGAGUCAUUUGCUAAACCACCUAAUGAAAGUGAAACAAAGAUGAUCAAGAUUAUGACUAUGUGAAGUCUCCCACCCAUCAGAAGCCCUACUGUAAUUGCAUGAAAUGAUCUGGAAAAAAAAGAAUGGCCAUCAACUAUAUUCAGCAUGCUCUGUUUAUCUCUUCAGAAACUUCUCCUUCAUGAUGUUUCCCCCCAUCACCCCAGUGAAACAUGCAGUCUUCUUCAACCAUUUUGAAGACGGAUGUCAAAUCAAACAGUAUGAGUAAUACAAAGAUAUAUGAAUGCCACAAGUUACACUAUUGUCUGUACACUUCUUUCAUGAUCCAGUCCAACAUUUGAAACACUUCUACAGAUCUGAUUCUGACAGGUGAUUUGUGGAAUCAACAUCUUCCAUCAAUGCUCUUACUCUUUACAAUGAUCAAGUAUACAUGCAUUUGGAUCAAAUGAAAUGCCUUGGCUUACUCUGGGAAUGUUUAUUCACUACAGGAGCCACCUGGACACUAGACUUUUUUUUUCACUUCAUCCUUUUUCAGAAACUUGAAGUGUUCAUAAGUGUGUACUCCUUGAGUUUAUAAGGGAAUAUAUGGAGGAAUGAAAAAUCACAGUAAUUAUCUCAAUAAUUUAAAAAAUUAAGAGAGCUUGAUAUAAAGGCAGAGAUCUAAAAUGAUAUUUAAAAGUAGGCAACUAACCUCUGUAAUAAACUCAAAUUUCAAAUAUGAAUGCCACCUUUUAUCUUUCAAGUUCAAAUAGAGGUGAUAUUCAAACAACAUUAUCGAGGCAGUGAUCUGAAAGUUUUAAUUCUGUGUCUUACUCUAAAAUUUUACUUCAUUUAUAAAGCACAUCUCUGAUUACCUAAUAAGAAUGCCCUUUUCUUCAUUAUCCUCUUCAGAGCUUUAUUAGUGCCACUUUAGACAGAUUACAAUAAAUUGAGGGUUUCUUAUCACUUAUUUCCAAUUUUUCAAUGAACAACUGUUGCAAAUGCACUAUAUCACUGCUUCUUACUGCUGUCCUUGGACCCACUGACCACAAUUUAGAUCAAGGACACCAAAUCUUUGUAUAUUAAUUACUACUUAACAUUUCCUUUGAGAAUGAAAAGAAAUAUAUAAUGUAGCCUUAUAAAAAUCUCCCCUUACUCCUAACAGUCUCCCAUUAAAGAUGUGCACUUAUGAAGACUUCAUUUACAGAAGUAAUUAAUUUUGAAUA